AUUUGAAAGGGCCUAUGUUAUGGAAGAUUCUUGAUUCAAAUUCAAAGAAAUGUGCCAUUAUUUUUUGAGGAAAAGGAGAUAUGCCAAGUAGUGGUAAUGAAAAUCCUUUGGGGUGCACGGGAGGAAGCUCUGGUUUCAAACACCAAUGUCUUGGAAAUUGAAGACCAAAAUAGAGAGUGUGACUCUUACUUGAGAUUGCAAGGGAAAUUGAAGACCAAAAUAAUAAGAAUGCUUGGAAAUUGCCUACCCGUGAACUGGAAAUGCAACACCAAUGUCUUCAAUGGCCCAACCCUUUCUAAAUGAGGACGCUGACUUCAAUUUAUGUCCACCGUUGAAGAAAAUGAGAACCUCUUGAUUGAACUUCAAAGAAAUAUGCCAAGUAGUGGCGAUGAAAGUCCUUUGGGAGGCAUGAGAGGAAGUGCUGCUUUUUUGCAAACGCUAAACAAGUAUAUGUCUCACUGUUUUGAUGCAUCAUGCGAUCAAAAUAAUGUAGGCUUGGCUGCGGUUCUCAGAGAUCAGGACUGGAAUGCCAUUGGCCAAAGAGGAGAGUUUUGAACAAGUUGUGAU